CUGGUUUCGUACCGUAGACGUGCGACGGAGUCCACGGCGGAGCCAGUGAGCAUGUAAGACGUCCAUCGCACCGUAGGAGUCUGCCUCCCUACGGCCCGAACACGGGAGAGAUCGCUGAGCGUUACAAC
rnacentral:ncRNA from 1 species